rnacentral:rRNA from 1 species
AAAAGUUACAAAGGGCGAAUGGAGGAUGCCUGGGCUUCUAUCGGCGAAGAAG